GUGAGUCAUCGAAUCUUUGAACGCAUAUUGCGCUCUUUGGUAUUCCGAAGAGCAUGCUUGUUUGAGUAUCAGUAAACACCUCAAAGCUUUUGGAUUUUUUAAUCGAAAAGCUUUGGACUUGAGCAAUCCCAACACCAAUCUUUUUGAGAUCGGUGGCGGGUUGCUUGAAAUGCAGGUGCAGCUGGACAUUCUCCUGAGCUAAAAGCAUAUUCAUUUAGUCCCGUCAAACGGAUUAUUACUUUUGCUCUAGCUAAUAUAAAGGUCGAAUGUACUAUACGCUGACUGAUGCAGGAUUACCAA
rnacentral:misc_RNA from 1 species